GUACAGAUGACGAGUCCCAAAUAGGACAAAAUGUGCAUCCUGGAU
rnacentral:hammerhead_ribozyme from 1 species